GACAGAGGGUGCGACCGUUGUUCGGAAUUACUGGGCGUAAAGCGCAUGUAGGCGGCAGCGCAAGUCGGGCGUGAAAUCCCACGGCUCAACCGUGGAAGUGCACUCGAAACUGCGCAGCUGGAGUCCUGGAGAGGAAGGUGGAAUGCUUGGUGUAGAGGUGAAAUUCGUAGAUAUCAAGCGGAACACCGGUGGCGAAGGCGGCCUUCUGGACAGUGACUGACGCUGAGAUGCGAAAGCGUGGGGAGCAAACAGG
rnacentral:rRNA from 1 species